CUCCUUCGUCCCUUCGGUUCAGAGCGGAUGGUGAAAGAUGUCGACGGAGGACCGUGCUCUGCUUUCCACGGGAGGAGUCCCCUUGAUGAAAUAACUUGAUGUGAGAGAGAGACCUUGGAUGAAUCCAAUCCUGAGUGGAAGGUCCUGACAAGUCAACGGGUCGCUACUGGAAACAUGGUAUUCCUGUAGAGCAAGGUGGCCCAGGUGCUUGAGAGAAGCUAGGGGAGGCGAUGGAGACCAGGUGUUGCUACUGGAUCGGGAGAUGGCCAACGCUGGUGGAUUGUGGAGCUUCGUGUGGACUCUAAAAUGAAAUGAAUAAAGCCUGAUUGAAAUCA